AUUGAACGCUGGCGGCAGGCCUAACACAUGCAAGUCGAGCGGAUGACGGGAGCUUGCUUCUUGAUUCAGCGGCGGACGGGUGAGUAAUGCCUAGGAAUCUGCCUGGUAGUGGGGGACAACGUUUCGAAAGGAACGCUAAUACCGCAUACGUCCUACGGGAGAAAGCAGGGGACCUUCGGGCCUUGCGCUAUCAGAUGAGCCUAGGUCGGAUUAGCUAGUUGGUGGGGUAAUGGCUCACCAAGGCGACGAUCCGUAACUGGUCUGAGAGGAUGAUCAGUCACAAUGGAACUGAGACACGGUCCAGACUCCUACGGGAGGCAGCAGUGGGGAAUAUUGGACAAUGGGCGAAAGCCUGAUCCAGCCAUGCCGCGUGUGUGAAGAAGGUCUUCGGAUUGUAAAGCACUUUAAGUUGGGAGGAAGGGCAGUAAGCUAAUACCUUGCUGUUUUGACGUUACCGACAGAAUAAGCACCGGCUAACUCUGUGCCAGCCGCCGCCGUAA
rnacentral:rRNA from 1 species